CGUGCGCCGCGUCGCUCUGGUGAUGUUUAACUCCGCUGCUCAUAACAAAAACCGUCUCUGAUCCGUGGUCUCCUCAAGACCGUUCUCCCCCACCUCUACAAAGAGACUCAGAUCAGGAAGGACCUCAUCAGGGAGGUGGAGAUGGGUCCGUUCAAGCACACGGUAGAUGACGGUCUGGAUGUCCGUAAAGCUGCGUUCAAGUGCAUGUACACUCUGCUGGACAGCUGCCUGGAGGGGCUGGACGUCCUGCAGUUCUUAGACCACGUAGAGGAAGGACUCAAAGAUCACUACGAUAUCAGAGUGAGCAGGAAACAAGCAGAGGACCUAGAAGUUGGGCUGACGUUCCUGAUGUUGGCUAGAUUAGCCUCUCUGUGUCCUGCUGCUGUCCUCCAAAGACUGGACAGACUCAUGGAACCACUGAGGGCCACCUGCACCACCAAGGUGGGACAGGAGUCGGCUGAGUUGUAGGACCAGGAGAUGAAGAUGGUGAUGAUGGUACUAACAGGAAGAAAAGGUGAUUCAAAAAUAAACAGUAUUACUUUUUCACAUAGUUGUCAGUAGGUUAAAACAAUAGCAGAUGUGUUAGAAACAUUGGUACAGUCUCUGUCAGUCAAACAUAGUCACUGAUGGAGCACAGGGUUUGUCUGUGAGGUUACAAAUGUUAAGAAUAAGUUUUAGACAAAAUGUAGAAUCUAUCUAGUUUAAAAUAUGCAAGGAUGACGGCAUUAACAGCUCACAGCUUCCUGUCCUACUCACUCUUAGUCAACACCAAACAACAUCCUGUGAUUGUUUUUCUAGGUAAUCAAAAAAACAAAUGCUAUUCUGAAAGUUCUUCUGACAGUUUGUCUGAGUCAGUUUCUAUUGACGGGAAUGACGUUUUAAAAUUACUUUUUCUUUCCCAAAUCACAGCGCCACCAUCAGGCUGAUAAGGUCCAUAUUUCUCAUAGAUAAUGAGCGGGAUGCCCAGAUAUAACAGUCCAGGGUGUCGAGGGAAUUUCUACUGCCAAAUUUACACUUCCACUCCCCAUCAUCCUCCUGUUGAAGCUG